rnacentral:rRNA from 1 species
GGUGUUGCAUGGCUGUCGUCAGCUCGUGUCGUGAGAUGUUGGGUUAAGUCCCGCAACGAGCGCAACCCUCAUCCUUAGUUACCAUCAGGUAAUGCUGGGGACUUUAAGGAAACUGCCAGUGAUAAACUGGAGGAAGGUGGGGAUGAUGUCAAGUCAUCAUGGCCCUUAUGGAGUGGGCUACACACGUGCUACAAUGGUGGCUACAAUGGGCUGCAAAGUCGCGAGGCUAAGCUAAUCCCUUAGAAGCCAUCUCAGUUCGGAUUGUACUCUGCAACUCGAGUGCAUGAAGUUGGAAUCGCUAGUAAUCGUGGAUCAGCACGCCACGGUGAAUACGUUCCCGGGUCUUGUACACAC